rnacentral:rRNA from 1 species
GACGAACGCUGGCGGCGUGCUUAACACAUGCAAGUCGAACGGAAAGGCCCUGCUUUUGUGGGGUGCUCGAGUGGCGAACGGGUGAGUAACACGUGAGUAACCUGCCCUUGCCUUUGGGAUAACUUCAGGAAACUGGGGCUAAUACCGGAUAGGAGCUCCUGCUGCAUGGUGGGGGUUGGAAAGUUUCGGCGGUUGGGGAUGGACUCGCGGCUUAUCAGCUUGUGGGUGGGGUAGUGGCUUACCAAGGCUUUGACGGGUAGCCGGCCUGAGAGGGUGACCGGCCACAUUGGGACUGAGAUACGGCCCAGACUCCUACGGGAGGCAGCAGUGGGGAAUAUUGCACAAUGGGCGGAAGCCUGAUGCAGCAACGCCGCGUGCGGGAUGACGGCCUUCGGGUUGUAAACCGCUUUCGCCUGUGACGAAGCGUGAGUGACGGUAAUGGGUAAAGAAGCACCGGCUAACUACGUG